AGAGCGAACGCUGGCGGCAGGCCUAACACAUGCAAGUCGAACGGACCCUUCGGGGUUAGUGGCGGACGGGUGAGUAACACGUGGGAACGUGCCUUUAGGUUCGGAAUAGCUCCUGGAAACGGGUGGUAAUGCCGAAUGUGCCCUUCGGGGGAAAGAUUUAUCGCCUUUAGAGCGGCCCGCGUCUGAUUAGCUUGUUGGUGAGGUAAUGGCUCACCAAGGCUACGAUCAGUAGCUGGUCUGAGAGGAUGACUCACGCCA
rnacentral:rRNA from 1 species